GCCAGCUAUGCCUAGAAAUCUGGAGGAAAGCAGCGACAACUGAGGCAAGCACACCUGCACGGAAGCGAAAUCGCGAAGAAGACUUGGACUCCGUCUCUAAAUAAAAAAACACCGAACUCAUAUUCAAGCCCACAGCCAAGUGUAUAGGCAUGAACGAUAAAAACUGGUCACCAUGAGGCUCACGGCGGAGCUCAUACAGGCUCACUAUCCUACCUCAACCCACUCAAGAGAGCGCGAACUAGAUCUUCGAGGACAGCGCAUCUCCGCCAUCGAGAAUCUCGCUGUCGCUGACCCUCACGAUGCGAUUGACUUUACCGACAAUGAUAUCGAAAUUUGGGCAACUUUCCUCUCUCGCCACGCUUGAACACGCUCCUCGUGGGACGCAAUAAAAUUCACAUCAUACAGGCUGGCAUGCCUACAUCUGUUCCCAACUUGAAAAACCUGGUGCUCGCUUCCAACAGCCUGGCUGAACUGGCUGAUCUGGACGUGCUCGGAAAAUUCUUGCGACUCAAACAGCUCGUCUUGACCGAUAACCCUGUCACCAAAAAGCAAUAUUACCGCUAUUGGGUCGUAUGGCGUUGCCUUCAGUGCGCUUCCUGGAUCACGAAAAAGUUAGACAGGCCGAGAGAGAGAAGAGCCGAGAAAUUUUUGGGACAGCUGAUCAGCCCAAGGCUUUAGCAUCUGAG
rnacentral:lncRNA from 1 species